GUACACACCGCCCGUCACACCAUGAGAGUUGGGAAUACCCGAAGCCUGUGAGCUAACUUAUAGAGGCAGCAGUCGAAGGUAGAAUCAAUGAUUGGGGUGAAGUCGUAACAAGGUAAC
rnacentral:rRNA from 1 species